UGAGAAAGGUGUACACUUGUUUCAAGUU
rnacentral:piRNA from 1 species